rnacentral:rRNA from 1 species
CCUACGGGAGGCAGCAGUGAGGAAUAUUGGUGAAUGGACGAGAGUCUGAACCAGCCAAGUAGCGUGAAGGAUGACUGCCCUAUGGGUUGUAAACUUCUUUUAUAUGGGAAUAAAAUGUUCCACGUGUGGGAUUUUGUAUGUACCAUAUGAAUAAGGAUCGGCUAACUCCGUGCCAGCAGCCGCGGUAAUACGGAGGAUCCGAGCGUUAUCCGGAUUUAUUGGGUUUAAAGGGAGCGUAGGUGGAUUGUUAAGUCAGUUGUGAAAGUUUGCGGCUCAACCGUAAAAUUGCAGUUGAAACUGGCAGUCUUGAGUACAGUAGAGGUGGGCGGAAUUCGUGGUGUAGCGGUGAAAUGCUUAGAUAUCACGAAGAACUCCGAUUGCGAAGGCAGUUCACUGGACUGCAACUGACACUGAGGCUCGAAAGUGUGGGUAUCAAACAGGAUUAGAUACCCGAGUAGUC